rfam:Haemonchus placei strain MHpl1 genome assembly, scaffold: HPLM_scaffold0000135
GGUCCAAAUUUGAGGUAGAGUAGAUUAAGAGGAUCGGCUGACCCUACUAAACCACUCUACUUCAAGUUUGUGCCU